UACGGGGGGAGCAAGCGUUGUUCGGAUUUACUGGGCGUAAAGGGCGCGUAGGCGGCCAGCGCAAGUCAGUUGUGAAAUCUCCGGGCUUAACUCGGAACGGUCAACUGAUACUGCGCGGCUAGAGUGCAGAAGGGGCAACUGGAAUUCUCGGUGUAGCGGUGAAAUGCGUAGAUAUCUGGAGGAAUACCGGUGGCGAAGGCGGCAUCCUGGACCGACAUUGACGCUGAGGAGCGAAAGCGUGGGGAGCAAACAGG
rnacentral:rRNA from 1 species